AUUGAACGCUGGCGGCAUGCCUUACACAUGCAAGUCGAACGGUAACAGGUUAAGCUGACGAGUGGCGAACGGGUGAGUAAUACAUCGGAACGUGCCCAGACGUGGGGGAUAACGUAGCGAAAGCUACGCUAAUACCGCAUACGAACUGAGGUUGAAAGCGGGGGACCGUAAGGCCUCGCGCGUUUGGAGCGGCCGAUGGCAGAUUAGGUAGUUGGUGGGGUAAAGGCUUACCAAGCCUACGAUCUGUAGCUGGUCUGAGAGGACGACCAGCCACACUGGGACUGAGACACGGCCCAGACUCCUACGGGAGGCAGCAGUGGGGAAUUUUGGACAAUGGGCGAAAGCCUGAUCCAGCAAUGCCGCGUGCAGGAUGAAGGCCCUCGGGUUGUAAACUGCUUUUGUACGGAACGAAAAGGCGCCUACUAAUACUGGGUGUUGAUGACGGUACCGUAAGAAUAAGCACCGGCUAACUACGUGCCAGCCGCCGCAGUAAUAC
rnacentral:rRNA from 1 species